AUCGCCCAGUGGUCAAGGCGAUGAGCUUACAUCGCCAUGACCCGCGUUCGAGUCCCACUGC
rnacentral:tRNA from 1 species